rnacentral:rRNA from 1 species
AACGAGAUCUUCGGAUCUAGUGGCAGACGGGUGAGUAACGCGUGGGAACCUGCCCAGUAGUAGAGAAUAACUUGGGGAAACUUAAGCUAAUACUUUAUACGUCCUUCGGGAGAAAGCUUUAUGCGCUAUUGGAUGGGCCCGCGUUAGAUUAGUUUGUUGGUGAGGUAAUGGCUCACCAAGGCGACGAUCUAUAGCUGGUCUGAGAGGAUGAUCAGCCACACUGGGACUGAGACACGGCCCAGACUCCUACGGGAGGCAGCAGUGGGGAAUAUUGGACAAUGGGGGCAACCCUGAUCCAGCGAUGCCGCGUGAGUGAUGAAGGCCCUAGGGUUGUAAAACUCUUUCGUCAGGGAAGAUA